ACACGAGGGAGGAGCCAACACGGAAAAGCCACCGCACUGAAUACGAAUUCGGUAUAGUUUGAUGGCAUGAAACUCCGCUCAUUACUGCUAGCAAGCAGCUCACCUCAACGCUGCACUUUUUUACGCAGACAGUGUUUCAGCCCAAGCGGGCUUAGUGGGCCCGCUGGGACGAUCAGUUACGUGCACCGCCACCACGCACUCGUCACCGCAGCAGACAUUGCUGCCUCCUCCGUCACCUCGGGGUAUAGCAGCCAGUUCGAAUCGCCCACGCCCGCCCACUGCAGUGGACCCAGACACAGCGCCUUCGUAGCUUCCUGUCUGCGGACGUAUCGCCCUUUAUGGACACCCUCUACACGGCCGUCAUCGGGGCAUGUGCGCUGUUCUGGAGGUGCCGUGUAUAGGACGUCGACGGUGGAGCACGCUACGAUGGCUUUUUCUCGGCGGUGCACAGUACAUGUUCGACCUGUAUGGGCACACAAGUUUUUAACUCAUCUCUUAUACAAGAGGAGCGACAGCGACUGACGAGCGCAAUGUCUCCGAAGGCUGUGGAAGACGCACACAAUUCACAGCACACCUGCACGAGAACCAAGCUGACGAGUACAGUCGCACAGAGGAAACUACAGCGAGACUGUUACAAUAAAUAUGUUGGUGAGGAUGAUCCCCUGUCUCAACGAGCCCAUCAAUCUUGUCAGACGGAACACCACAUCACUCUAGUGUGGUGCGCAAGACCAAAUGUGCCAACUCGCAGCACUGCAGUCCAGGUGGAACCAUGGGAACAGCAGCGUUGAUGGAAGUGCGCAAGAAGAUGAAAGUUCCUCUACUGCUAGGGCAGUAUGAAGCAGCUUCACAAGGCAGUAGCCACUGUCCUAGAGUGACCCUGGGCAAGCUUGCUCAUGACUAAGCCAUCAAAGAUGCUUUGAUGAAAGACAUCCUAAGGGAUCGGGUCUUCUUCGUCAGUUCAACUGCCAUGCUGCUGUGAGACUUGUGAAUCGAGAAGCCUACAUCCUAAGCAGUAUGAACAAAUCUGGGCCGGCAUGCUUAAGGGUCACAAGCCACUCUCAUUUGCCAUUAAAGCCAAAAAGUACCUGAUUACACUAAACUUGUGUCUGCCGAUGGCAGGAGCAACAUCUAAAAGAGCUUCCGCAAAAUUUAUUUUGCAGUCGUCGUCUUGGCACUUCCGUGGGACACUAGGUGUUGCCAUGUGAGAGCCCAGGAAUGUAUGCUCGGUUGCUAGCCAAGCUGUGGAGACCACCUUUUCUAUGCAACCCUGAAACGCCUAAAUAAUCAAACUCAACAUGCUAGCACAAUAUAGUGUAAGGAUUCUCUUAGUUUAAUUCUAUAUGCUUCCUUAACAUUCCCUAUAUUCAGCCCGCAUAUAGUGGUGAUAACAUAUGCAGAGAGCCACUGUUACGCACUGACUAGACGCAAAAAGGGAAAGAAUUGAAAUAGAAUCGUUACAUUAUGCCAGUUCUGUUCUUCUGUCAUGCGUUUUUUCAUGCAUGGAUUUUUUCAUUUAGUAGAUAUGUAAAGCUAGCAUGGUUCCAAGAUGCCUUUGAACAUUGCACUCACCUUGAAAUUUCUUGUGGGAAUAUCCAGCAAUGCAUCAAGGGGCUACGGUAUCGUAGUCGUCAGUGCACCACGGGUUCCAGAAGCCCACUGCUUUAACAAUUCUGAUCACCUAUGGUUCGGUAAUGUGCACCUAAAGUGCUGGUGGCAUUUACAAUAUAAGAUGACACUAGCUGUUUAAAGCAUGGCACUAGAGUUCUGUUUUUCUUCUAUACUUCUGGAAUAGAUAACACGUGUAGACUAUGCAUCACCGUAACCAGAACUGUGAAGCUGUGCUUUGAUUAUGCAGUCGUCAUAGGGUCUAACCACACUUCAGUUUCACAGAUGGUCACAGUGAUAUCUUGCAAGCUGUAGUAGGCUGACUCGGGGUGCUCUUUUAGGUCCUGGUAGAGUAGAUGCAAACCUGUAUAAUAGUGUCCCGGGUAGUAAGGCAGUAGCAGAACACAUGAACAUCAAUGCUUGAACUUCUGAUGACAGCAGCGCACCUGCGAAGUUUCCCUAAUUAGCCGCACAAUGACAGAUUAUGAUGCCUUUGUACGGUAGCAUGGUAAAGGAAGAUGUCUCAUGGAAAUCGCUUUCCGAUUGUCUGCAAAGACCACCAUUUAUCUCGCCACAUACAAAAAGAAAAAGGACCAGUCAAUAUAGGCGAACGAAUCGACGUGCUAUUUUAGAGUUGUAAUAUAGUAUUACAUCGUUGGGUCAAGUUUCUAGAACACUUUUUGUGUUUUGUUAAGGCAAAAGCCUUUCCAGGCUCAUGGUGAAGUUCGUGUCAACAGACCUGACUGCUGGAGUGCCUGCCGAAGCGUCAUCAUGCCAUAUGAAGACAGAUUAAAGAAUGAAAAAUGAUUGCUAGUAACACUUAGUCAAUGAUAACGUUAUAAUAGAGAUUGGUAGAGGUUAAUAAUGACCAUUAAUGACUUGUAAUGACUACUAAUGACUCUGAAAUGACCAAUAUGUCAACGACAGCUUGUAAUAACCAUAAUUGAUUAGAAAUGACGAGAAAUUUUUAGUAAUAGUAAUGACUAGAAUGACUACUAAUGACGUAAUGACUACUAAUCACUAUGAAAUGACCAAUAUGUCUAAUGACGGCUUGUAAUGACAAUUGAUUACAAAUGACUAAAAAUGCUUAGUAAUAACCACUAAUUACUAAUAAUGACUGAAAUGACUUGUAAUGACUACAAAUGACCAAUAUACCUUAACGAUGAAUUGUAACUACUAUAAAUUAAUUAGAAAUGACCAGUAAUGACUGAAAUGACUGAUAUGACCAACAUGUCUAACGAUGGCUUGUAAUGACCACAGUUGAUUACAAAUGACUAAACAUACUCAGUAGUAAGCAGUAAUGGCUAAAAGAAAAGAGAAAGAGAAGAAGUGAAUGAUACGAGGAAGAAGAUUAGGCUUUCACCGUUCACCUCUUACGAGAGAUCGUAAGAGACCCUGUAAUUUUUUUUUGUAUAA